AUGUGGAGGUGGCAGAGAGCGUCGCAGCACAGCAGCCCCGAAGCCAGCGCGGGGCCAGCGGUCCUGCCCGCGCCUGAUGGGUCACACUCUGCUCCCGCAGGCAGAAGAGCCAAGGAGAGCCCCGUCCCCGCUGUGGCCGCAGCCUGGACGGAGGCCUGUUCCCCUGUCCCCACCCCCACCCCCACCCCCACCACACUGACCGGGCUCUGCGGUGCGGCCCGGGGCCGUGGACAAUGUGCCAUCACCUCUGCUGUCGGAAAACCUUGGGGCUGGACGGCGGGGGGACCCCGAGGCACCCAGGGUGGCGUGCAACCUCCAGCAAGAAAGGAACAUGUUCGGUGGCGCUGGGGCGGCUUCUCGCGGGUUGAGGCCGGGAUGUCAGUUUGCCGAGCGGGGGUCACACAGGGAAAGCAGGACGAGGGGGCUCUCCGUGAAGACACAAGCCGCGUGGGCGUCCCAGCGAACCGACCCGAAAGGCAUCCAACCUGGCAGGAGGAAGGAAGACUGUUUGCCGAUGACGGGGUCCCGCGUGUAGCAAACCCUCCAGGUGUCACGAGAGGCCUGUUCCAACAAGCGCGGCCGGGAAGGAGCCCGACACAAAGGCGGCGCGGGGGUCCCGCUGCGUUUCCGGCCCUCGUGGCGAACUCCCGGAAGGGAAGUUGCAAAAUCAAUUUCCUCUUCGAUAACAUCAAAAAGAAUGAAAUACUUGGAGUUAGACCACAGAUUUGCACAGCGGAAAGAAAUUACGGAAGACGCAUCGGCAGACACAGCAGAGAUCACGCCUUCCAGUCUCCCCUGCAGCCAGGCGUGGCCACAGCACCGCAUUCCCCAGGACGCAGGGCUGGAAGGACUGGGCCGGAAGUCUGGGACGCCUCCUUACAGGCCGGGGGCUCCACCAUCCUCCACUGUCCUCCUUCCUGAUGCGUGAAAUACAGCUGUGAAGGCCGGAGCUCAAGCAGCCACCUUUGACCACGAGAUCAGGCACCAGCUUCCCAAGGCUGUGGACGUUUCCGUGUCAGCUCCGAGAGAGAAGACCCCUGUGUGUUGAGCGUGUUUAUCCGUGGGGGUGGGGGCAGCCUGUCCUGGGCUGAAGGAGGGUUUAUGGUUCACACUCAGCGUGUGGCCCGGUGGCAACGAGGGCUUCCAAAUCACUGAGCUCUUGAGAUGGCCCCUCUCGGAAGCCCCGUUGCUCCCCCGCCUCCUCCCUCUCAGGGCCACUCUCUUCAGAGCCGCGUCUGGAGGAACUCCUGUCCUUUUAGGAGGGAGCCCCCGCAGCCCCCUGCCUUCCCCUCCUCCAUCACGACGGCCGAAGGCGGCAGAGCCACAGGAGGGUGGGGAGACGCGAGGAGUCAGGGAGGCUGGAAGGACCAUUCGGAGCAGCAGAAACUGAGCAUCCCAGCAAACAGGACCAGGCGUCCGCGGACAGACCGACGCCCACGACAAGGGAGGGUUUGUGCCAGGCACGUGGCGUGGGCAACCGACGGAGAAAGUGCACCUCGAGGGCAGGUCUAGGGAGACAAACCGUACGAUCAACCCCACAGAGGCAGCGUGGGCAACUGCUCAGAUUUGGGGCAAGUUUGGCAUCUUUCAGAACGAUGACCGUGCCUCACAGAGACACGCUGGAGAUCCGGAGACCCGUGAGCCUCGUCCCCCAGGCCCCAGCAGCCGGCGGGCGACAGCAGCCCAGCGUUUUUCGACACGGGAAUGGACACGCGGGGUGCGGUCCACCCGCACGCUGGGCGUCCCGACACCUGCUCCGGCACGGGUGAGCCCUGAGGACGCUACGCCGAGUGACACACACCCGUCACAGGGGGACAAAGCCUGUCUGAGCCACAAAUAGAAGGUCCCCAGACUGGCCAGCCUCGCGGACACGGACAGCAGAGUGAUGCCGGCCGGGGAAGGGCUGUUUGUGUUUCACGGG
rnacentral:lncRNA from 1 species